CAUGUCUGAAGCACUGUUAAAUAUAUUUAAAUAUAUUUUGAAAACACUUGAUGGUCACGCGCUGUACUGGAGUCACCAUGGAAACGGGGCUCAGCUCAACCGUCAAGCAGCUGAACAGACGCUGUCUCUCAUGGUUGUUUUCACUAAUUUCAGAAAUGGUCAGUGUCUUCAGAAAAAGUCCGUUAGCAUCUCAACUGUAAUGCUAACUACAAGAGAUUCUUCCAUGCUGAUGGCCGUGCCUGUAUCCAGCUGAAGAACAUUUUUAGACAUUAUGAAACAUAUAACUAAGACUGAAAAUCAUUGAUAAACCACAAGAGUUUAGCUCCAACCCCAGUUAAGCAGACCUGAGCAGCUGAUCAAGGAUCAGCAGAAACUCUGCAGAACGGUGGUCCUCCAGCCCAGGACUGGUCACCAGUGUUAUGCUAGAGAAAGAACAGCGAGGCUAAAGCAUUCAAAGUGGAAACAUCUGCCGUGGCUCAUUAAUCCAGAAUUGGGAUGGAGGAAGGAGCAGAAGAAGAAGCAGAAGAACAGAGAUCAGGUGGAGACUGGUGCCCCUGUGGGAACCCCAUUUACCAAACGUGUUAGUUAAACCAAAGAUUUUCCUCACUCACCUUCAUGUUGUUCCAAGCCAGACUUUUGUUCAUCUUUGAAACAUAAAUGCAGAACUUAUUAAACUAAUAAAAUCUGAAAAAAAAAGUAUUUAAAAUAACGCAUUCACACAAGCACCAUGAUGCAUCAGUAUUGCAUUGGCAUGAGAGCUGGCGCUUUUUGGUGCUUUUGUGAAAAUCCAUUGGGGAUUCAUAAUUUCUGAAUUUGUGUUCUGCAACAUGGUUUGCUGUAGAGCUGUAAUCGGGCCUUAAAAGUUAGGCCCGACAGGACCCGAGCCCGACAGGUUUCGGCCCGAGCCCGACAAGUACAUUUUGAUUGACAGCUUUUUUAAAGCCCGAACCCGUUUAC